rnacentral:rRNA from 1 species
GGCGAACGCUGGCGGCGUGCUUAACACAUGCAAGUCGAACGGAAAGGCCCUGCUUUUGUGGGGUGCUCGAGUGGCGAACGGGUGAGUAACACGUGAGUAACCUGCCCUUGACUUUGGGAUAACUUCAGGAAACUGGGGCUAAUACCGGAUAGGAGCUCCUGCUGCAUGGUGGGGGUUGGAAAGUUUCGGCGGUUGGGGAUGGACUCGCGGCUUAUCAGCUUGUUGGUGGGGUAGUGGCUUACCAAGGCUUUGACGGGUAGCCGGCCUGAGAGGGUGACCGGCCACAUUGGGACUGAGAUACGGCCCAGACUCCUACGGGAGGCAGCGGUGGGGAAUAUUGCACAAUGGGCGGAAGCCUGAUGCAGCAACGCCGCGUGCGGGAUGACGGCCUUCGGGUUGUAAACCGCUUUCGCCUGUGACGAAGCGUGAGUGACGGUAAUGGGUAAAGAAGCACCGGCUAACUACGUG